rnacentral:rRNA from 1 species
AACGAACGCUGGCGGCGUGCCUAACACAUGCAAGUCGAGCGCGAAAGUCCCUUUCGGGGGCGAGUAGAGCGGCGGACGGGUGAGUAAUACAUAGGUAAUCUACCUUCGAGCUUGGGAUAACCCCGCGAAAGUGGGGCUAAUACCGGAUAAGACCACGUAACCAUGUUACGGGGUCAAAGGUGGCUUACUUUUUUAAAUGAGCUAUCACUUGAGGAUGAGCCUGUGGCCUAUCAGCUAGUUGGCGGGGUAAGAGCCCACCAAGGCUAUGACGGGUAGCUGGUCUGAGAGGACGACCAGCCACACUGGGACUGAGACACGGCCCAGACUCCUACGGGAGGCAGCAGUGGGGAAUAUUGGCAAUGGGCGAAAGCCUGACCCAGCGACGCCGCGUGGGCGAUGAAGGCCUUCGGGUUGUAAAGCCCUGUCAUGCGGAAAGAACGACCCUGUGACGCAUACUCACAGGGAGUGACGGUACCGCAGGAGGAAGCACCGGCUAACUCCGUGCCAGCAGCCGCGGUAA